GACGAAGGGGGCUAGCGUUGUUCGGAAUUACUGGGCGUAAAGCGAGUGUAGGUGGUUGUCCAAGUUGGAUGUGAAAGCCUUGAGCUCAACUCAAGAAAUGCAUUCAGGACUGGGCGGCUAGAGGACCGGAGAGGAUAGUGGAAUUCCCAGUGUAGAGGUGAAAUUCAUAGAUAUGGGGAGGAACACCGGUGGCGAAGGCGACCAUCUGGACGGAUACUGACGCUGAGACGCGAAAGCGUGGGUAGCAAACAGG
rnacentral:rRNA from 1 species